rnacentral:rRNA from 1 species
AUUGAACGCUGGCGGCAGGCCUAACACAUGCAAGUCGAACGGUAGCACAGAGAGCUUGCUCUCGGGUGACGAGUGGCGGACGGGUGAGUAACGUCUGGGAAACUGCCCGAUGGAGGGGGAUAACUACUGGAAACGGUAGCUAUUACCGCAUAACGUCGCAAGACCAAAGUGGGGGACCUUCGGGCCUCACACCAUCGGAUGUGCCCAGAUGGGAUUAGCUAGUAGGUGGGUAAUGGCUCACCUAGGCGACGAUCCCUAGCUGGUCUGAGAGGAUGACCAGCCACACUGGAACUGAGACACGGUCCAGACUCCUACGGGAGGCAGCAGUGGGGAAUAUUGCACAAUGGGCGCAAGCCUGAUGCAGCCAUGCCGCGUGUAUGAAGAAGGCCUUCGGGUUGUAAAGUACUUUCAGCGGGGAGGAAGGCGGUGAAGUUAAUAGCUUCACCGAUUGACGUUACCCGCAGAAGAAGCACCGGCUAACUCCGUGCCAGCCGCCGCAGUAA